rnacentral:rRNA from 1 species
AGGACGAACGCUGGCGGCGUGCUUAACACAUGCAAGUGGAGCGACGAACCAGGGCUUGCCCUGGGGCAGAGCCGCGAACGGGUGAGUAACACGUGGGUUACCUGCCUUGAUGACCGGGACAACCCGAGGAAACUCGGGCUAAUACCGGAUGUGCCCGCAAGGGGAAAGGAAGCUUCGGCCUCCGCAUCAAGAUGGGCCCGCGGCCCAUUAGCUAGUUGGUGAGGUAACGGCUCACCAAGGCUUCGAUGGGUAGCUGGUCUGAGAGGACGAUCAGCCACACUGGGACUGAGACACGGCCCAGACUCCUACGGGAGGCAGCAGUGGGGAAUCUUGCGCAAUGCGCGAAAGCGUGACGCAGCAACGCCGCGUGGGGGAAGAAGGCUUUCGGGUUGUAAACCCCUUUCAGUUGGGACGAAGCUUCGCCGGUGAAUAGCCGGCUGGAGUGACGGUACCUUCACAAGAGCACCGGCUAACUACGCGCCAGCAGCCGCGGU